rnacentral:rRNA from 1 species
GACAGAGGUGGCGAGCGUUGUUCGGAUUUAUUGGGCGUAAAGCGUACGCAGGCGGUUUGGUAAGUCAGAGGUGAAAUCCUACAGCUUAACUGUGGAAAUGCCUUUGAUACUGCCUUUCUUGAGUGCAUGAGGGGGAAGCGGAAUUCCGAGUGUAGAGGUGAAAUUCGUAGAUAUUCGGAGGAACACCGGUGGCGAAGGCGGCUUCCUGGCAUGUAACUGACGCUCAUGUACGAAAGCGUGGGGAGCAAACAGG